rnacentral:tRNA from 1 species
GGGCCAGUGGUCUAGCGGUACGCGCUCGAAGCAAAGCUUCGGCUGGUUUCGUGCGCGCACAAAAUGACGUCGCCCUUACAAGGCGGAGGUCGUAGGUUCGAUUCCUACCUGGCCCA